CUCCUGACUCCAGGUCCUGUGUGUUACCUCGAAAUAGCACUGGACUUGGAGUCAGAAGGC
rnacentral:pre_miRNA from 10 species